GCCACCCAGGUUCGGCCACUAGGUCGGAGGCCUGGGAGUUGGAGGGGAGAGGGAGUCACCCCCGGGCCAGCCCCAUCCAAAUGGCCUUCUCCCAGGCCUGCCAGCUCGCGCUCAGCCUGCGCCCCAGCGGGGUUGGAAUCUUGGUUUUUCACUUCUUUGUUGAUCUCCAAAUUCCGCAGAGCCUUGGGGUCGCCUGCCCUGCACCUCUGCUCCUGCAAGGCUGUCCAGUCUGCGCCAGGACGCCUUGCCCAGCGGGUCACCGGCCGCGGCCUUGGCGGUGUGCGCGGCCCAGAGAGCCUGACAACGCGCCCGGUGUCCUGUCCCAGCCUCCUCCCCCUCUGCAUCUUUUCCGAGAAUAGCUCCACCUCUCGCCCCUGUGCCACCCCGGGUGUCCCUCCACUUUCUGCCCUGUGCCACCCCCAGGUGUCCUCCCACGGUCUGCCCUGUGCCACCCCAGGGUGUCCCCCUAUGGUCUGCCCUGUGCCACCCCGAGUUCCCCCCCCACGUUCUGUCCUGUGCCACCCCGGGUGCCCCCCACGUUCUGCCCUGUGCCACCCCGGGUGCCCCCCCACGUUCUGCCCUGUGCCACCCCGAGUGCCCCCCACGUUCUGCCCUGUGCCACCCCGAGUGCCCCCCCACGUUCUGCCCUGUGCCACCCCGGGUGUCCCUCCACUUUCUGCCCUGUGCCACCCCGGGUGUCCUCCCACGUUCUGCCCUGUGCCACCCCCGGGUGUCCCCCCCACGGUCUGCCCUGUGCCACCCCCGGGUGUCCUCCCACGUUCUGCCCGCAGCCCUAGGUGGCUGCUAGUUGUGAUUCACCUGCCUUCUUUCUCCAGCAAGGCCUGGGAGCCGGGAGGCCGAGAUUCCCGCCUGCCUGGUCCCCUCACCAGCUCCUGACCUUGGGCAACUGACUGGGCCAACCCCUGUUUUCUCCCGUGCAACAUGCGGCUAAAAGCUGCCUAGCUCUUGGGGUCCUGUGAGGAGCAGGUUGAUCGGUCAGGAGUGCCAGGAAAGCACAGUAGAGCACUCACUCGCCGUCACUGCCGCUGGCUGCCGGGACAACCUCGCAGAGCUGGCUCGGGGUGCAGACAGGGGGUGGCCAGGAACUCCUGGGGGUGCUCCAGCACACAGGCCCUACCCCUGAGUGCUCUGUUGAUGGUCUCAGGCCCAUCUCCUGAGGGAGGGGCUCAGGGGUCGCCUAGGGGAGGAGACUCAGUGCUGGUCCCCUACAGUGAGGUGACCCCUGCUGAGUCUGGGGUGGGGGGGUUGUCUUAUUGCUGUUUAGCAGCUGCUGACUCUUCCGGAGCACCUGGGUUCCAAGGACUGUUCCAAGUGAGUCGCACGCUGUCCCUCGGUUUCACAGAAGACAGCUCCAGGCCCUGUGGCAGGACGAGGGGGUCCCAGCACAGGGGUCCGAGCAGCCCUGCUGAGCCACCCGUCCUCACACUCAGAUGAUUACUUUUAUUCCAGCAAAAGUAAUCAUAGUAAAGCCACUGCAAAGUAAAAUACCUUGAGAACCACCACACGGAACAGUGAGACGUUUGGAGACCGCCUCCCCAGCAAAGAAAGGCAGGGCCGCGCCAUGCCUGGGGCAGGGGCCGUGCCGUGGCUGGGGUAGGGGCAAGGGCUGUGCCGUGGCUGGGGCAGGGGCUGUGCCGUGGCUGGGGUAGGGGCAAGGGCUGUGCCAUGGCUGGGGCAGGGGCAAGGGCCGCGCCGUGGCUGGGGCAGGCCUCCCUGCCGCGCUGACCCAAGCCUUGUUGGCAGUGGGCACAGAGGGCCAGGAGAGUCAGAUUCCACCAAGAGGGAACUUCGUGUGUCAGGCACGGAUUUCAAGAAGGAUUUGAGGAUUAGCAGGUUCUGUUUGGCUGCCCACAAGAGGACAAUCUGGUGAGGGACA
rnacentral:lncRNA from 1 species